rnacentral:rRNA from 1 species
UUUGACCUCGGAUCAGGUAGGAAUACCCGCUGAACUUAAGCAUAUCAAUAAGCGGAGGAAAAGAAACCAACAGGGAUUGCCCUAGUAACGGCGAGUGAAGCGGCAACAGCUCAAAUUUGAAAUCUGGCCUCGGCCCGAGUUGUAAUUUGCAGAGGAUGCUUCUGGCGCGGUGCCUUCCGAGUUCCCUGGAACGGGACGCCACAGAGGGUGAGAGCCCCGUAUGGUCGGACACCAAGCCUGUGUGAAGCUCCUUCGACGAGUCGAGUAGUUUGGGAAUGCUGCUCUAAAUGGGAGGUAAAUCUCUUCUAAAGCUAAAUACCGGCCAGAGACCGAUAGCGCACAAGUAGAGUGAUCGAAAGAUGAAAAGCACCUUGAAAAGGGGGUUAAAUAGUACGUGAAAUUGUUGAAAGGGAAGCACUUGUGACCAGACUUGGGCCGGGCGGCUCAUCAGGGGUUCUCCCCUGUGCACUCCGCCCGGCACAGGCCAGCAUCGGUUCUCGUGGGGGGAUAAGACCGUCAGGAACGUAGCACCCUCCGGGGUGUGUUAUAGCCUGGCGGACGAUACCCCCGUGGGGACCGAGGUUCGCGCUCCGCAAGGAUGCUGGCGUAAUGGUCACCAGUGACCCGUCUUGAAACACGGACCAAGGAGUCGUCCAUUAGAGCGAGCGUUUGGGUGUAAAACCCGCACGCGUAAUGAAAGUGAACGCAGGUGAGAGCUUCGGCGCAUCAUCGACCGAUCCUGAUGUUCUCGGAAGGAUUUGAGUAAGAGUUUUAACGGACGGACCCGAAAGACAGUGAACUAUGCUUGUAUAGGGUGAAGCCAGAGGAAACUCUGGUGGAGGCUCGCAGCGGUUCUGACGUGCAAAUCGAUCGUCAAAUAUGAGCAUGGGGGCGAAAGACUAAUCGAACUGUCUAGUAGCUGGUUACCGCCG